rnacentral:lncRNA from 1 species
AAAAGAAGAGGAUGCUGUUGAAAUAGAUGGGGCAAGGAUCAGAACUAUUGGAGGCGAGCCACAGUGACUGUGACGAGAAAUGCUCCAGAAAGAAGAGAUGUUGGUGGUGUGCCAGAAUUUCUCUUCUGGACUCCUGGACUUCCACAAAGAGGGUUUCAUUUCUUAUUCCUCUGUGUGGCUGAUUUGAAAUUACUGCAUCAACUGCCAAUUUUCAUUUUCAACUAGAUAACCUGGAACUGUAUUCAAGCCGAGCAGCAGAAAACAAAGAGUUCUCUCUCCACUCUCCCCUCCUAUCUCUUGCCUUCUUGAAGAUCUCUGGUCUGGCGGCUGCAGACUCCAUAUGGCAGCAAGCUUCCAAAUCCUGCAGCUGCUGGCUGUGCGCUCCCUCAAGCUCUGGACUCAGAACUUCAUCUGAGAUCUUUGUUGUCUCCAUAGCAACUGGGGCAGCCACAGGUCCUGGCAUUUCCUUUUGGAAAAUGAGAUUGCGGAUAUGUAUGUUAUAAUAGAUCUGUGUGUUCCUGAAAACAUUC